rnacentral:rRNA from 1 species
AGGAGGAGGCUCCUUUAGUUAAUACCUAAAGAGAGUGGACGUUACUCGCAGAAUAAGCACCGGCUAACUCUGUGCCAGCAGCCGCGGUAAUACAGAGGGUGCGAGCGUUAAUCGGAUUUACUGGGCAUAAAGCGUGCGUAGGCGGCUUUUUAAGUCGGAUGUGAAAUCCCUGAGCUUAACUUAGGAAUUGCAUUCGAUACUGGAAAGCUAGAGUAUGGGAGAGGAUGGUAGAAUUCCAGGUGUAGCGGUGAAAUGCGUAGAGAUCUGGAGGAAUACCGAUGGCGAAGGCAGCCAUCUGGCCUAAUACUGACGCUGAGGUACGAAAGCAUGGGGAGCAAACAGGAUUAGAUACCCUGGUAGUCCAUGCCGUAAACGAUGUACUACUAGCCGUUGGGGCCUUUGAGGCUUUAGUGGCGCAGCUAACGCGAUAAGUAGACCGCCUGGGGAGUACGGUCGCAAGACUAAAACUCAAAUGAAUUGACGGGGGCCCGCACAAGCGGUGGAGCAUGUGGUUUAAUUCGAUGCAACGCGAAGAACCUUACCUGGCCUUGACAUACUAAGAACUUUCCAGAGAUGGAGUGGUGCCUUCGGGAACUUAGAUACAGGUGCUGCAUGGCUGUCGUC